UUAUAGGCAAUUUGAUGAUACAGGAACGCACAGAAUGCACGAAAUGAAGCACACGUUAGAGUAAAUAAGACCUUAACUGAGGCUUAAAUAGGACUUCGUAUAUAACGAUAUAAACUUGUAUAAAGAGAUUGUUAAACAUUUACACUUUACAUAUCGUCGUUUGCGAGAGACGUAGAUUUUAAGCGAGAAUCAAAGAGUUUAAAGUAAGUACGAUAGAACUCGAUUUAUCUGUGCUCGUCGGGAGACAAGCAGUUUAUAUAAUUGCAGUUCAUAUAACAGAAGCUCGCCAAUCAUCCCUGCAAUUACGUUCUGCUCGCAUAACAGAAGCUGUCGUUCAGAUGAACAAAUCGAACCAGAAAAAGUUAAUCGUAAUAAGGAAGCAGUGACAAGCCAAGAGUUGAACCGUGAAGAACGAACCGCGAUAACCAAGAUAGGAUCGGGGCAUACUCAACUGACACGUAUGUACAUACUGGAAAACAGUCCUGUUAAAUGUGACAUCCGCAGUGUGAGGCUAUCGAUCACCCACGUAAUCAUAGAGCGUUCUAUAUAGAACAAUUCAAGGAGAAAAACAUAAUGUCGACGAUAAUCUUAACGAUAUCCUCGCGGUGAUCUCGUUCCAACAGAAAGAUUAUCACCUUCUGUAAAGAAAUUAAGAUAUUGAGAAGAAUUUGAUAAGCCAGCGUUCAUAAAAAUAGUUGCCAAUGAUCGUAGUUGUAGUCGAUGCGACUUUAAAUUAAAUAAAUAAGAAUAAUGAUAAAGCUUGGUUCAGGUGAACGAUAGUUCAGCUGUAAUAUGUCGUAAAAGUUUGUCGAAACUUGUAAAGGAAACGCUAUGUAGUAAAAAAUAAUAAAUGAAUGAAUAAUAUAAAAUUUGCAUAAGCAUUUCCAGACUUGUGACAAUAAAGAAAUAGAGAAAGCAUAA